rnacentral:piRNA from 1 species
UGAAUUCGGUGUCUGGGAUCUCUCUGAAU